GAAGUUCGUACAGCGGAACGUUAUGUCGGGUGUGUUCGGUGGUCGUACGUCUCACGCGGAUUUGAGAGCCAGGGUGAAACUGGCGACCAGUUGCGCGGCCAUACCGAAGCCGUGAAUAACGAGUCCUAGAACCGAUAGCCAAACGAGCGUAGGGCUGGGAAUGAACGGCGCUGGACCAACCAGUCCGAAUCCCACCAUUACUAGGAAACAGCCGAUGAUCGUGGAGACCUGAAACAAAUGGAGGAUCAGAUCCGUCGGGGG
rnacentral:misc_RNA from 1 species